CGCUGGCGGCGUGCUUAACACAUGCAAGUCGAGCGAGAAAGCUCCUUCGGGAGUAAGUACAGCGGCGGACGGGUGAGUAACGCGUGAGAAUCUACCCUUUAGUGAAGAAUACCUCCGAGAAAUCGAAGUUAAUGCUGCAUACGUCCCUCCGGGGAGAAAGAUGGCCUCUUUGCUGUCGCUAAAGGAUGAGCUUGCGUACUAUUAGCUUGUUGGUGGGGUAAAGGCCUACCAAGGCGAUGAUGGUUAGCCGACCUGAGAGGGUGAUCGGCCACACUGGAACUUAGACACGGUCCAGACUCCUACGGGAGGCAGCAGUGAGGAAUAUUGCGCAAUGGGCGAAAGCCUGACGCAGCAACGCCGCGUGAAGGAUGACGGUCUUCGGAUUGUAAACUUCUGUUAAGUGGGAAG
rnacentral:rRNA from 1 species